rnacentral:rRNA from 1 species
GUGCCAGCCCCCCAAAAUUUCCCCCGGGGGGAAAAUUUCCCCCGGGGGAAAUUUGGGGGUUUAAAACCCCCAAAAGGGGGCCCCCUUUAAAACCCCCGGGGGGUUUAAAAACCCCGGGGGUUUUCCCCCUUUGGGGGGAAAAGGGGGGGCCCCCAAAAUUUCCCCCGGGGGAAAAUUUCCCCCGGGGGGAAAAUUUGGGGGGGUUUUAAAACCCCCAAAAGGGGGCCCCCUUUAAAACCCCGGG